rnacentral:lncRNA from 1 species
UAAUUAUUUUCAUAACAAAAACUGAGUAUUGAAGCAAAUCUUGCUAAUUCCAAUUAGCCCCAAUCUCUUCAAAUCCAACUCUCUCACGCCUCUCUCUUCAUUUGACUUCAACUUCAACACCACAUUUACAAACACCCAGAUAUGUGAGAUUCACUAAUUCACACCGGAGAAGAGAACCCAGCACAAAGAACCCUAAAUCGUCUCCGACUUAGAACCCUAAACCUUGUCCAACUCCUCUUGUCCUGGCGAUAGAGCCCUAGAAAGGUAGCUACAUCCUACAAUUGGUCAAAAUCUUUGCAUCUUUCGGGAUAAACAAGCCCCAUCGGAGCUCAUUAACGUUGUAAACAAUAUCGAGAUGAGGUAUUUUACCCUUUCUCUUCUCUCACCUGUCGAUUUGCUUAUCCCACUAACAUAGAUCGGGUUUGUUUCUUUGUUUUCUUUCAAGAUCUAACUUUUGAGAGCUAAUGUGGUACGCAUUGAAACCUAGAAGUGGUUGAUGGUGUCUACCUGAAGAGCUUCGGUUGAAGCUUCAAGAGUUUUGUAUUUUUCCAGAAUUCCCAAAUUGUAAAAGGUCCAUAUCUUCCUAGUUCAAUUUUUUUAUUACUCAAACUUAAACUUGGGUAAGAAUAUUUUGUGUUUGUUCUUUUCAUUUCUUUCUAUAUUCUAAGUAGUUUACAAAUCAUAUUGCUCGUGAAACAAUGUCACUAAAUAUUUUUUUUCUACAUAAGGUUUAUGCUUCUUCAUUUCUUUCUAUGUUUUAAUUAGUUUGCAAAUUUUAUUAUGGUAUUUUAGGUUUCAUCGUGAAGCUAGAAAUGUAUUCUAUUUGCUAUCGAGUUCGAAUCUUUUUUCCAAGGGUGAGAUUUGAUUGGGGAAAACAAUGCAUUGUUGGUAGAAAGCAUAUCACCUAAGAAGUUGACUCAAGAAUUUAUUUUAUUUUAGGUUUCAGAUUUUCAUAGGAUGAUGACAAGAGGGCAACAAGAUCAGCUUUUCUUCAUUGUUGAUCUUUACAAACGUAAUCUGUAUCCUCAAAUAAUAGAUACAAGGAUUAUAAAUCUGUAGCCACUAAACUAGUUAUUUUAUGAACUAAUUUUCUGCAAGUAAUACAAGAAUCAUUGCUUCAUGUUCUGAUUUAGCGUUGAAGUACAACCAGAUCAAGUGUUUUUGGAACUUGAAUUGCUUCCACAUAGGACAGUAACACCAAACAGCUAAGUUGUAUUAGGUGAAAUAGUGCUUUGGCUUCUAAUUAUGUGUUCCUCAAUAUAAUUUUGGGGCAAAAUAGUUUUUUUUUUAAACAUAAAUUUUAUUGUUAUCUGUUACCUUUGUUAUGCCACAAGCUAUAGCUAAAUUUUUUUAAACUAUGCAAAGCAAUAAGUCUU